GGAGUGCGGCCGCAAGGNUAAAACUCAAAGGAAUUGACGGGGACCCGCACAAGCAGCGGAGCGUGUGGUUUAAUUCGAGGCUACGCGAAGAACCUUACCAGGGUUUGACAUGAUGGUGGUAGUGAUUCGAAAGAUGAACGACCCUUCGGGGAGCCAUCACAGGUGCUGCAUGGCUGUCGUCAGCUCGUGCCGUGAGGUGUUAGGUUAAGUCCUGUAACGAGCGCAACCCACGUCGGUAGUUAUACGUGUCUAGCGAGACUGCCCGUGAUAAGCGGGAGGAAGGUGUGGAUGACGUCAAGUCAGCAUGGCCUUUAUAUCCUGGGCUACACACACGCUACAAUGGCCGGUACAAUGGGCAGCGAAACCGCGAGGUGGAGCCAAUCCUCUAAAGCCGGUCUCAGUUCGGAUUGUAGGCUGCAACUCGCCUGCAUGAAGUCGGAGUUGCUAGUAAACGUGCGUCAGCAACAGCGCGUUGAAUACGUUCCCGGGUCUUGCACACAC
rnacentral:rRNA from 1 species